UAUGUGAUCGUCUCUCGCAUAUCAAUAAGCGGAGGAAAAGAAACUAACAAGGAUUCCCCUAGUAACGGCGAGUGAAGCGGGAAGAGCUCAAAUUUGAAAUCUUAAAGGGUUUCCCUUUACGAAUUGUAGUUUAAAGAAGUGUUUUCUGUUGAGGUUUUGGUAAAAGUUCUUUGGAAUAGGACAUCAUAGAGGGUGAGAAUCCCGUAUUUGACCUUUACUUUCAACUUUGUGAUACACUUUCAAAGAGUCGGAUUGUUUGGGAAUGCAGUCCAAAAUGGGUGGUAAAUUUCAUCUAAAGCUAAAUAUUGGCGAGAGACCGAUAGCGAACAAGUACCGUGAGGGAAAGAUGAAAAGAACUUUGAAAAGAGAGUUAAACAGUACGUGAAAUUGUCAAAAGGGAAGCGUUUGACACCAGUGUUGUUUUUCUGAAAAUCAAUUAAAGAACUGUUUAUACUAAGCUGUUUAGACUUUAUCAGCUAACUGUUUAGUUUUGAGCUUUUCUUUAAUGCACUUUUCAGUUAACAAGUCAACAUCAAUUUCUUUUGCUGUAAAAAAGCUUGAGGAAGGUGGCUUGAGAUUCGUCUUAAGUGUUUAUAGCCUCUUGCCUAUGCAGUCGGAGAGAUUGAGGUCUGCAGCGUAGAUCCUUCGGGGCUAAAUGCAUUUGUGCUAAGUUAUAGCAUUUUAUAGACAACUUGUUGACUAUGAUUUGUCUUGUAGCUUACUCGCUUAUGUUAUUUUACCUACGCUUAGGAUGUUGAGUAGCGACAUACGCAC
rnacentral:rRNA from 1 species